UCCGUAGGUGAACCUGCUGAGGGAUCAUUA
rnacentral:rRNA from 1 species